UGAACGCUGGCGGCAGGCCUAACACAUGCAAGUCGAGCGAGAAAGCCCUUCGGGGUGAGUAGAGCGGCGGACGGGUGAGUAACGCGUAGGAAUCUACCCGGUAGUGGGGGACAACUUGUGGAAACGCAAGCUAAUACCGCAUACGCCCUAUGGGGGAAAGCGGGGGACCUUCGGGCCUCGUGCUAUCGGAUGAGCCUGCGUAGGAUUAGCUAGUUGGUGGGGUAAAGGCCUACCAAGGCUACGAUCCUUAGCUGGUCUGAGAGGAUGAUCAGCCACACUGGAACUGAGACACGGUCCAGACUCCUACGGGAGGCAGCAGUGGGGAAUAUUGCGCAAUGGGGGCAACCCUGACGCAGCCAUGCCGCGUGUGUGAAGAAGGCCUUAGGGUUGUAAAGCACUUUCAAUUGGGAGGAAAGGUUGUACGUUAAUAACGUGCAGCUGUGACGUUACCUUUAGAAGAAGCACCGGCUAACUCCGUGCCAGCAGCCGCGGUAAU
rnacentral:rRNA from 1 species